AUGGGAUUUCAUUUACCUGCAGUUAUUAGAUGUGCUUCAUUAAGCAGAAGCCGAACAUCAUCAAAGGUAAUGAAUAUACCAAAGGGCUAUCUUGCCGUGUAUGUUGGAGAAGAAAUGAAGCGGUUUGUGAUCCCCAUGUCAUACUUGAACCAAACUUCAUUUCAAGACUUGUUGAGUCAAGCAGAGGAAGAAUUCGGAUAUGAUCAUCUAAUGGGUGGUCUCACAAUUCCUUGCACUGAAGAUGUUUUCUUGCAUAUUACUUCCCACUUCAGUGGACUAUAA